ACUCAUUUUGCCUUCUAAAGCAACAAUCUUCACCAGGUUUGCACUCCAUCAAAAGGUGAGAGUCCCAUCUUUCACCUUCCAUGUAUAGAAAUCCACUUUUUUGUGCAAAAAGUAAUAGAAAAAUCAAAAUUCAAUUUUAUAUUAUGGACACAAGAUGCAUCAUUGUGGCAUAUAAAAUUGAGAUUAAAAAAAUCAAACCAAAAGGGGAGAAAACAAAGAAAAGAAGAAAUAUGUAGAUGAUAGAAAUUAAUACUUCU
rnacentral:lncRNA from 1 species